rnacentral:rRNA from 1 species
CUUAGUNUCAUUCGGAUUNUAGGCUGAAACUCGCCUACAUGAAGCUGGAGUUGCUAGUAAUCGCGAAUCAGCAUGUCGCGGUGAAUAGUUCCCGGGCCUUGUACACACCGCCCGUCACACCAUGGGAGUUUGUAACACCCGAAGUCAGUAUCCUAACCGCAAGGGGGGAGCUGCCGAAGGUGGGAUAAGCGACUGGGGUGAAGUCGUAACAAGGUACC